CCUACGGGUGGCAGCAGUGAGGAAUAUUGGUCAAUGGGCGCGAGCCUGAACCAGCCAAGUAGCGUGAAGGAAGACUGCCCUACGGGUUGUAAACUUCUUUUAUAAAGGAAUAAAGUGAGGCACGUGUGCCCUUUUGUACGUACCUUAUGAAUUAGGAUCGGCUAACUCCGUUCCAGCAGCCGCGGUAAUACGGAGGAUCCGAGCGUUUUCCGGAUUUAUUGGGUUUAAAGGGAGCGUAGAUGGGUUGUUAAGUCAGUUGUGAAAGUUUGCGGCUCAAACGUAAAAUUGCAAUUGAUACUGGCAGUCUUGAGUACAGAUGAGGUAGGCGGAAUUCGUGGUGUAGCGGUGAAAUGCUUAGAUAUAACGAAGAACUCCGAUUGCGAAGGCAGCUUACUAGACUGCCACUGACGUUGAUGCUCGAAAGUGUGGGUAUCGAACAGGAUUAGAUACCCUUGUAGUC
rnacentral:rRNA from 1 species